rnacentral:rRNA from 1 species
AUACGGAGGGGGCUAGCGUUGUUCGGAAUUACUGGGCGUAAAGCGUACGCAGGCGGAUAUUUAAGUUAGAGGUGAAAUCCCAGGGCUCAACCCUGGAACUGCCUUUAAAACUGGGUAUCUAGAGUUAUGGAGAGGUAAGUGGAAUUCCUAGUGUAGAAGUGAAAUUCGUAGAUAUUAGGAGGAACACCAGAGGCGAAGGCGGCUUACUGGACAUAUACUGACGCUGAGGUACGAAAGUGUGGGGAGCGAACGGGAUUAGAAACCCUAGUAGUCC